AACGAACGCUGGCGGCAGGCCUAACACAUGCAAGUCGAGCGCCCCGCAAGGGGAGCGGCGGACGGGUGAGUAACGCGUGGGAACGUACCCUUUGCUACGGAAUAGCCUCGGGAAACUGGGAGUAAUACCGUAUGUGCCCUUCGGGGGAAAGAUUUAUCGGCAAAGGAUCGGCCCGCGUUGGAUUAGGUAGUUGGUGGGGUAAUGGCCUACCAAGCCGACGAUCCAUAGCUGGUUUGAGAGGAUGAUCAGCCACACUGGGACUGAGACACGGCCCAGACUCCUACGGGAGGCAGCAGUGGGGAAUCUUAGACAAUGGGCGCAAGCCUGAUCUAGCCAUGCCGCGUGAGCGAUGAAGGCCUUAGGGUUGUAAAGCUCUUUCAGUGGGGAAGAUAAUGACUGUACCCACAGAAGAAGCCCCGGCUAACUCCGUGCCAGCAGCCGCGGUAAUACGGAGGGGGCUAGCGUUGUUCGGAAUUACUGGGCGUAAAGCGCACGUAGGCGGACUGGAAAGUCAGAGGUGAAAUCCCAGGGCUCAACCUUGGAACUGCCUUUGAAACUCCCGGUCUUGAGGUCGAGAGAGGUGAGUGGAAUUCCGAGUGUAGAGGUGAAAUUCGUAGAUAUUCGGAGGAACACCAGUGGCGAAGGCGGCUCACUGGCUCGAUACUGACGCUGAGGUGCGAAAGCGUGGGGAGCAAACAGG
rnacentral:rRNA from 1 species